rnacentral:rRNA from 1 species
UCGGGAAUUUUGGGCAAUGGGCGAAAGCCUGACCCAGCAACGCCGCGUGAAGGAUGAAGUAUUUCGGUAUGUAAACUUCGAAAGAAUAGGAAGAAUAAAUGACGGUACUAUUUAUAAGGUCCGGCUAACUACGUGCCAGCAGCCGCGGUAAUACGUAGGGACCAAGCGUUGUUCGGAUUUACUGGGCGUAAAGGGCGCGUAGGCGGCAUGACAAGUCACUUGUGAAAUCUCUGGGCUUAACCCAGAACGGCCAAGUGAUACUGUCGCGCUAGAGUGCAGAAGGGGCAAUCGGAAUUCUUGGUGUAGCGGUGAAAUGCGUAGAUAUCAAGAGGAACACCUGAGGUGAAGACGGGUUGCUGGGCUGACACUGACGCUGAGGCGCGAAAGCCAGGGGAGCAAACGGGAUUAGAUACCCGAGUAGUCCCUGAGCGGGCUGG